GCCCUUAUAGCUCAGUGGUAGAGCGCAGCACUUGUAAUUCUUCAUCUGAAGAUUCUUAUAGGUCCAUGCUGAGGUCCAUCGUUCAAUCCGGUGUGGGGGCA